rnacentral:rRNA from 1 species
ACGGGAGGCAGCAGUGAGGAAUAUUGGACAAUGGGCGCAAGCNUGAUCCAGCCAUGCCGCGUGAAGGAAGAAUGCCCUAUGGGUAGUAAACUUUUUUUAUUUGGGAAGAAACCUUUCUACGUGUAGAAAGCUGACGGUACCAAAUGAAUAAGGACCGGCUAACUCCGUGCCAGCAGCCGCGGUAAUACGGAGGGUCCAAGCGUUAUCCGGAAUCAUUGGGUUUAAAGGGUUCGCAGGCGGUCAAUUAAGUCAGUGGUGAAAUCUCGGGGCUCAACUCCGAAACUGCCAUUGAUACUGAUUGACUUGAAUUAAGUUGGAGUAGGCGGAAUGUGUAGUGUAGCGGUGAAAUGCUUAGAUAUUACACAGAACACCGAUAGCGAAGGCAGCUUACUAAACUUAUAUUGACGCUCAUGAAUUGAAAGGGUGGGGAGCGAACAGGAGUAGAUAUCCUGGUAGUCCCCGCCUUCUACGAUGGCUACUCUAUAUGGGCGAUAU